rnacentral:rRNA from 1 species
UACGUAGGGUGCAAGCGUUGUCCGGAAUUAUUGGGCGUAAAGGGCUCGUAGGCGGUUUGUCGCGUCUGCUGUGAAAACUCGGGGCUCAACUCCGAGCUUGCAGUGGGUACGGGCAGACUAGAGUGCGGUAGGGGAGACUGGAAUUCCUGGUGUAGCGGUGGAAUGCGCAGAUAUCAGGAGGAACACCGGUGGCGAAGGCGGCAUCCUGGACCGACACUGACGCUGAGGAGCGAAAGCCAGGGGAGCAAACGGG